AUCCAAAUGACGAGUCCCAAAUAGAACGAGGUGAUGCACGUCCUGGAU
rnacentral:hammerhead_ribozyme from 1 species